GGACGAACGCUGGCGGCGUGCCUAAUACAUGCAAGUAGAACGCUGAAGGAGGAGCUUGCUUCUCUGGAUGAGUUGCGAACGGGUGAGUAACGCGUAGGUAACCUGCCUGGUAGCGGGGGAUAACUAUUGGAAACGAUAGCUAAUACCGCAUAAGAGUAGAUGUUGCAUGACAUUUGCUUAAAAGGUGCAAUUGCAUCACUACCAGAUGGACCUGCGUUGUAUUAGCUAGUUGGUGGGGUAACGGCUCACCAAGGCGACGAUACAUAGCCGACCUGAGAGGGUGAUCGGCCACACUGGGACUGAGACACGGCCCAGACUCCUAUGGGAGGCAGCAGUAGGGAAUCUUCGGCAAUGGACGGAAGUCUGACCGAGCAACGCCGCGUGAGUGAAGAAGGUUUUCGGAUCGUAAAGCUCUGUUGUAAGAGAAGAACGAGUGUGAGAGUGGAAAGUUCACACUGUGACGGUAUCUUACCAGAAAGGGACGGCUAACUACGUG
rnacentral:rRNA from 1 species